CAAAGAAUGACUUUAAGAAAGCCUGGAGGAAGUACCCCUAUGAAAUUAAUGUUAAAUAUUGAACAUCCUGGCCCCGAGGAUGCAGACCGAUAUGUAAUGGGAAUGUAUUGGAAGAAAGGUUCCUACAACAAAUUAGGUCAUUUCUACCUCAGAGAUAUGUCCCACUCUCCAGAGUGGCAAGGGGCUGAUCAUAUGGUCCCAAAUCCGCUAAAACCACAUAUCCAGUCCUUUAAAGAUAUGAUGGCCAUCGCUAACCCCACUUUUGAAGAUACCAUGGCCGCUGAAACUGGAUUCAAUGACAUUAGUUUGUGGUUAGAAUGGAUGAGGUAUAAUGCCAACAAACAUAAUAAAACAGCAUGUUAUGUAUGUGGCGGUGCCCGACCCCACCUUGGCACCGUCCCCCUAAUUCUCCCUUUAGAGAUAGAAGAUUGCUUCUUAAGCCUUUUUGCCUACCAAUAUGACUUUAAUAGGUCCCUCUGCAUGGCAUGGACGGCAGAAUACCCUCUCUUAGUUGAAAAUGUUAAGCCACCAGAUGGGGUCACAGUCUAUAGAGGUAAUUACACUUGUUAUGCCAUGUAUGACGGGAUUGGUAAAUUCAUGGGUAACUUUUCUAAAGGUUAUUGCGCCACUUACAGAACUGUUCCUAUACGCCUGUUGCAACACCAUACUAGGUCAUUGGGGGAUAUUUACUGGUUAUGUGGGGAUCUACAGUUAAGAUCUAGGCUGGAAACUGAGUGGUGGGGUGAGUGUACCCUGGCCAAAGUUAUCAUGCCCAUUCAUAUUAUUUCUGAUAAUCAUCAUGACACAUACGACCCUCCACAUACAUCAGCCAGAGUAAGGCGCGAAACCCCAGUAAAAGGCAGUUUUGACCCCCACAUUUACAUAGAUGCCAUUGGGGUGCCUAGGGGGGUGCCUAAUGAAUUUAAAGCUAGAGAUGAAGUAGCUGCAGGUUUUGAAUCACUUUUUACCAUAGUCACUGCCAACAAAAACCUUAAUUGGAUUAAUUAUAUCUAUUACAACCAACAGCGCUUCGUGAACUACACCAGGGAUGCCCUCCAGGGCUUGGCCGAGCAAUUACAGGCCACAUCCCAAAUGACCUUCCAGAACAGACUGGCCUUAGACAUGAUCUUAGCCG